CACCGGGCAAGGCAGACGCGAGGUCUCAGCGACCGCCCCAGCCGGGCGAAGGUCGGGGAGCGGCGCACCUCUGCUUUGACGGACUGGCGCUGCUGCAGCCGCUGCGGAGAGGAGCUCCGAGGGCAGCAAGCGACGCCCGAGCCCGCAUCGCCAACCUGGCCGGGCUCCUUUCUUUCCUGCUUGAGCUCCCUCCAGCGUCGCCGGAGUUAAGAGACUGAAACUACCGCGGAAGACGCCGAGCCAAGAAAAAGAGAGCGAAAGGAGCGCGAGAGAGACCCCCUCGCGUAACCUCCUCCCUUUUCGUCGGACCACGUGACCCCCCUUCUCCCAUCCCCUGUUUGCUGGGGCGGGGAGAGGAAAGAAACUUUAUGGAGAGAGGUGGGAGCCGUCACGCUCCGGCACAGACGACGCUUCGCCUCGAGACACCUUCUCGGAGCAGCGAGGAAGGGAAAGCAGGCCGACCUUCCCGAAUCCCGCCUCGCCGCGAAGGCUUGGUGCGCCUCAGCUCAUGAAUAUGAGGAAAAGCAGAUCAACUCAUUCACACGAACAAAAUAUCUCAGUUUAUCCUGGAAUGAAGCCAUUUCAAUGCCAUUCAAAGCAUAGCCAAAUCAGCUGUGUCUACUCUCUAUGAUCUACAUUGCUUCAUGUACUUCAUAAGGAAAAUCAAGGGCUACAAAACUGUUGAUUCAGUAAACAAGAGUCAUGUUCUUUGAUAAUCCAACAAGAUCAAGAAGACCUAAGUUUAAAUCACUUAUGAGCCAAAAAUCUCCCUGGAGGAACAUCUUUUAGCCUAGGGAACAUUUCUCACCAAAUGAAACAGGAGAUGGUGGGAACCAUAUGAAAGGUGAGAUAUAAAUGAAUACAUACAGUAUGAGUGUACAUAUGCAUUCAUGUGGUCUGAGACUGGAUGGUUUCCCCCAUGAUCGCCUUCUAGGAGGUCAAUUUUUCAGAUAGUAACUGUAAUGAAUAUUUUGUCUAAUUAAUUGAAGGACUGAACAAUGUUGGCCCUGGGUGUUCAGAACUUCUGUACCCAAUGUCCAGGACAGAGUUCAUUUGGGAAAAAAAUAAUAGAUGCUAAAACUUAUUUUACAUAACAGAAGAGAUUAUGGAUUUUGACAUUAGCUUCAAAUGCUAUGAUAUGUGCUGUCUCUACCUUUUAAUGGGGGAGAUGCUAUUUACAGUCAUAGCAUAUAAUUCUACAGGUUACUGCAAAGUAGCUCAGAUUAGUUACAAGCAUAUGCUCAGAUUUUCUCAUUUAACACACACACACACACACACAAACAUGCACAUAUAUACAGUGAAUUUCAGAAUACCAGCUUGAUUCAGUGUUCACAAAGACUUUCCUAGCCAUAUAUAAAUUAUUCUGAGGAAAGAAAGUGCUUAAAAGUUUAUUUCAUUCUUUCCUGCAGCCUGCGUGAGAUUUUUCAAUCUGGACAUCAAUAAAUACUAAUGAUGCAUGCAGAAAAAGGAAGUACACCACACAUAUCCCUGAAGUUAGGAAAAGAUAAAAGCAUUUAAGGAAAAAGAAAGAGAGAGAGAGAGAGAAAGAGAGAAAAUUCAUACAGUAUUUACACUAGGAAGCUUUCUGCUCUUGCUCUUUUUAAUGGAAGUUCCAUUCAACAGAACUUUUAACAGAACUGUAAAAAAGUUAAUUAUUCAGACCCUUCCUCUUGAUAAUGGCCAUACUGUGCUGAUAAAAAGCCAGGACUGAUAUGCAUCUCCUCAUAAUGGAUAUGCUCACACUAUUUUCUUCUUACACAGCUAAGCACAAAUUUAAAAUACAUUCGCAUACAUACACACAUAUGCACACAUUGUUUGUAUAUAUUGUCAUGUGCUGUGACUUUAUUCAACUUUAUUAAAAAAAAAUAUCUAGGCAACUGGAAACAUUGACAGCAAAGGCUAUAUCAUCUCCAAACCUGCCAUCCUGACCAAAAGAGUUAUGAACUAAUUUAAACAUCAUAAAUCAAGUAAUUAAAGCUUCAAACUAAAAAAGAAAUUAUGUUACAUAAAAGCUCCUGUCACUAGUAGGUAAUUUUCAUGCUUGAAAUGAAAUUCCUAAUGUUACUUUAAUGCUGAAUUUUGAACAUCAGUGUAACUUAAAUGUGUAUCUUAAUCAGAGUGGCUUAUCUGCCCUCUAUACAGCAAAUGUCUAGCUUCUAGUUUUAAAACAUUUUUUUCUUUCUGUUAAUUUGCAUUAUGAUAAUUUUAUAUCCUUAAGUGAGGGAUGGAGAAGCUGAUGAAAUUAUACAUUUUUAUGUCUGUCAUGGAUUUUACAGCUUCUAUUAAAUAAUGUACCCUUCUUAUACAUUUAUUCCUUUUAAAUUCUUCAACUAUUGAAAAAUAUUAAUGUUCAGCUGUCAGAAAUGAAAGCUAGAACUGAAUAACAUUUUUUUCCCAAUGAAUGUUCAGUUAUUUAGACUUCAACCAUAUUAGCUGUGGAACCUAAAAUUUUAAAGGAGUCAGUAAGCUUUAUCUUCAAACCAUCUUUUUGACAAUAAACAUGAUUUAGCUUAGUCCUAAUGCAUCUUUUUCCAUGUUGAAAAUAUAAUCUACACUGAAUUGCA